rnacentral:rRNA from 1 species
AUUGAACGCUGGCGGCAGGCCUAACACAUGCAAGUCGAGCGGAUGAAGGGAGCUUGCUCCUGGAUUCAGCGGCGGACGGGUGAGUAAUGCCUAGGAAUCUGCCUGGUAGUGGGGGAUAACGUCCGGAAACGGGCGCUAAUACCGCAUACGUCCUGAGGGAGAAAGUGGGGGAUCUUCGGACCUCACGCUAUCAGAUGAGCCUAGGUCGGAUUAGCUAGUUGGUGGGGUAAAGGCCUACCAAGGCGACGAUCCGUAACUGGUCUGAGAGGACGAUCAGUCACACUGGAACCGAGACACGGUCCAGACUCCUACGGGAGGCAGCAGUGGGGAAUAUUGGACAAUGGGCGAAAGCCUGAUCCAGCCAUGCCGCGUGUGUGAAGAAGGUCUUCGGAUUGUAAAGCACUUUAAGUUGGGAGGAAGGGCAGUAAGUUAAUACCUUGCUGUUUUGACGUUACCAACAGAAUAAGCACCGGCUAACUUCGUG